rnacentral:rRNA from 1 species
UACGUAGGGUGCAAGCGUUAAUCGGAAUUACUGGGCGUAAAGCGUGCGCAGGCGGUGAUGUAAGACAGUUGUGAAAUCCCCGGGCUCAACCUGGGAACUGCAUCUGUGACUGCAAGGCUUGAGUGCGGCAGAGGAGACUGGAAUUCCUGGUGUAGCAGUGAAAUGCGUAGAUAUCAGGAGGAAUACCGAUGGCGAAGGCAGGUCUCUGGGCUGACACUGACGCUCAUGCACGAAAGCGUGGGGAGCAAACAGG